rnacentral:siRNA from 1 species
CACAAAGGGUGUUGGUCG